rnacentral:rRNA from 1 species
UACGUAGGGGGCAAGCGUUGUCCGGAUUUAUUGGGCGUAAAGAGCGUGUAGGCGGCCAGGUAGGUCAGCUGUGAAAACUCGAGGCUCAACCUCGAGACGCCGGUUGAAACCAUCUGGCUAGAGUCCGGAAGAGGAGAGUGGAAUUCCUGGUGUAGCGGUGAAAUGCGUAGAUAUCUGGAGGAACACCGGUGGCGAAGGCGGCAUCCUGGACCGAUAUUGACGCUGAGGAGCGAAAGCCAGGGGAGCAAACGGG